UACGUAGGGUGCAAGCGUUGUCCGGAAUUAUUGGGUCGUAAAGAGCUCGUAGGCGGUCUGUCGGCGUCUGCGUGUGAAAACCUCGGGGCUUAACCCCGGGCCUGCGAGUGGGUGACGGGCAGACUAAGAGUGCGGUAGGGGAGACUGGAAUUCCUGGUGUAGCGGUGAAAUGCGCAGAUAUCAGGAGGAACACCGGUAGGCGAAGGCGGGUCCCUGGACAACACCUGACACUGAGGCACGAAAGCUAGGGGAGCAAACAGG
rnacentral:rRNA from 1 species